CUACGGGUCGCACCAGUGAGGAAUAUUGCACAAUGGGGGGAACCCUGAUGCAGCAACGCCGCGUGGAGGAUGACGCAUUUCGGUGUGUAAACUCCUUUUAUAUGUCAAGAAAAUGACGGUAGCAUAUGAAUAAGCACCGGCUAACUCCGUGCCAGCAGCCGCGGUAAUAGGGAGGGUGCAAGCGUUACUCGGAAUCACUGGGCGUAAGGACGCGUAGGCGGGUUGGAAAGUCAGGUGUGAAAUCCUACAGCUUAACUGUAGAACUGCACUUGAAACUUCUAAUCUAGAGUAUGGGAGGGGGAGAUGGAAUUAGUGGUGUAGGGGUAAAAUCCGUAGAUAUCACUAGGAAUACCUAAAGCGAAGGCGAUCUCCUGGAACAUUACUGACGCUAAGGCGUGAAAGCGUGGGGAGCAAACAGGAUUAGAUACCCCCGUAGUC
rnacentral:rRNA from 1 species